AGAGUUUGAUCAUGGCUCAGGACGAACGCUGGCGGCGUGCCUAAUACAUGCAAGUCGAACGAACUCUGGUAUUGAUUGGUGCUCGCAUCAUGAUUUACAUUUGAGUGAGUGGCGAACUGGUGAGUAACACGUGGGAAACCUGCCCAGAAGCGGGGGAUAACACCUGGAAACAGAUGCUAAUACCGCAUAACAACUUGGACCGCAUGGUCCGAGUUUGAAAGAUGGCUUCGGCUAUCACUUUUGGAUGGUCCCGCGGCGUAUUAGCUAGAUGGUGGGGUAACGGCUCACCAUGGCAAUGAUACGUAGCCGACCUGAGAGGGUAAUCGGCCACAUUGGGACUGAGACACGGCCCAAACUCCUACGGGAGGCAGCAGUAGGGAAUCUUCCACAAUGGACGAAAGUCUGAUGGAGCAACGCCGCGUGAGUGAAGAAGGGUUUCGGCUCGUAAAACUCUGUUGUUAAAGAAGAACAUAUCUGAGAGUAACUGUUCAGGUAUUGACGGUAUUUAACCAGAAAGCCACGGCUAACUACGUGCCAGCAGCCGCGGUAAUACGUAGGUGGCAAGCGUUGUCCGGAUUUAUUGGGCGUAAAGCGAGCGCAGGCGGUUUUUUAAGUCUGAUGUGAAAGCAGCGUUCGGCUCAACCGAAGAAGUGCAUCGGAAACUGGGAAACUUGAGUGCAGAAGAGGACAGUGGAACUCCAUGUGUAGCGGUGAAAUGCGUAGAUAUAUGGAAGAACACCAGUGGCGAAGGCGGCUGUCUGGUCUGUAACUGACGCUGAGGCUCGAAAGUAUGGGUAGCAAACAGGAUUAGAUACCCUGGUAGUCCAUACCGUAAACGAUGAAUGCUAAGUGUUGGAGGGUUUCCGCCCUUCAGUGCUGCAGCUAACGCAUUAAGCAUUCCGCCUGGGGAGUACGGCCGCAAGGCUGAAACUCAAAGGAAUUGACGGGGGCCCGCACAAGCGGUGGAGCAUGUGGUUUAAUUCGAAGCUACGCGAAGAACCUUACCAGGUCUUGACAUACUAUGCAAAUCUAAGAGAUUAGACGUUCCCUUCGGGGACAUGGAUACAGGUGGUGCAUGGUUGUCGUCAGCUCGUGUCGUGAGAUGUUGGGUUAAGUCCCGCAACGAGCGCAACCCUUAUUAUCAGUUGCCAGCAUUAAGUUGGGCACUCUGGUGAGACUGCCGGUGACAAACCGGAGGAAGGUGGGGAUGACGUCAAAUCAUCAUGCCCCUUAUGACCUGGGCUACACACGUGCUACAAUGGAUGGUACAACGAGUUGCGAACUCGCGAGAGUAAGCUAAUCUCUUAAAGCCAUUCUCAGUUCGGAUUGUAGGCUGCAACUCGCCUACAUGAAGUCGGAAUCGCUAGUAAUCGCGGAUCAGCAUGCCGCGGUGAAUACGUUCCCGGGCCUUGUACACACCGCCCGUCACACCAUGAGAGUUUGUAACACCCAAAGUCGGUGGGGUAACCUUUUAGGAACCAGCCGCCUAAGGUGGGAUAGAUGAUUAGGGUGAAGUCGUAACAAGGUAUCC
rnacentral:rRNA from 2 species